GUGAGUUAGCAAGUUAAACAAAAUGGGUUGAUGGGUCGUGGAUAGACACGAGACACAACACGAUUAAUGGCGCGUCAUAAACGGGUCAACAAGAUUUCAACAUAAAUACAAAUAAGUUCAAGCCGAACUCUCUAUUUUUGUCUCGUGUUCACAGAUCGUGUCUAAAUUUGCCACCCUAGCAUAGACCACUAACUCUCUCUCUUGUUCCUCUCUCCCAAGUCCCAAUUGGGGAGAUCAACGAGGCAAUGAGACUCAUUUGUAUUACUCUAUGCAAAAGGGUCAAGCAUGGCAACUCCAGUUAGUAUGCUAGAUAUCAAAUUAAAAUAAAAAUUAUAAAAAAUUCCCUAUAGCAUUCUAUUUUAUGUGAAACACACAAGCUAAGUCUUCAUUUGAAUAGAAGCCCAAGUGUCAAUCUAAAUAUCAUUUUCUAAUUAUUGCAGUUGUCACUCACAAAAUUGUUUCAAUUGUGUGAUGCAUAAUUUGUCAACUUGAUCUAGUUGUACCUUUGAAGAUUUCUUCUACACAUGAACAAACAGAGAUAAAUGACAAUACAUGUAAUUUUCUAAGCAUAUUGAAGCAAAU
rnacentral:misc_RNA from 1 species